UACGUAGGGUGCAAGCGUUGUCCGGAAUUACUGGGCGUAAAGAGCUCGUAGGCGGUUUGUCGCGUCGUCUGUGAAAUCCCGCAGCUCAACUGCGGGCUUGCAGGCGAUACGGGCAGACUUGAGUACUACAGGGGAGACUGGAAUUCCGGGUGUAGCGGUGGAAUGCGUAGAGAUCCGGAAGAACACCGGUGGCGAAGGCGGCCUGCUGGGCAGUUUAGCUGACACUGAGGCGCGACAGCGUGGGAGCAAACAGG
rnacentral:rRNA from 1 species